rnacentral:lncRNA from 1 species
CCUGAAGAAUGUGUCAUGUAUUGAUGAAAGAUUACAUCUAAUACAUUUACAAAAAUGAUACCUUAUGUAUGAGAAAUCUGAGAUUACCCCGUCCUCUCUCUGAGUUUAGGCUAAACUGCAUAUAAAUCAGAACUGUGUAGUAGAAAAACAAUGGGCUGUGGAGUUAGGUAGAGCUCUUCUCAAAUUCUUGUUUAAAACAGUGGGCUGUGGAGUUAGGUCGAACUCUUCUCAAAUUCUUGUUUAAAACAAUGGGCUG